CUAUUAGGUAUUUUGUAAUAAGUGAUACUGUUAAUGUGCUGUUACUUUAAAUGUUGCUGUGUUUAACCAGUAGAGGGCAGUGUCGCAAACGUUAUCGCUGGACAUUUUAUUUUGAAAAGACGCAAAGGAGUCGUUUUCCUGUUCGUCUUCCUGUUUUGAUGUCUGCUCCGCGGUUGUUUCAUCUGCAUGAUAAACAAAAUAUCUACGAAGUUUUAAGAGGACUGAAACGUGCGUCGUGGUAGUGAGAAAGCCGUAAGAGACGCGUAUCUUGUGAGAAAACGGCGCCAUUUCCAGCGUUCCUGGAUGUAAAACAGCUGAAAACUGUGAGUUUUGUUUGAUUAUUUAUUUUUAAUUUUUCCAAUGACUUGUAAGUAAUUUUAUUUAUUUUUUUUGUGUUCAUCCUCUGUGGUCAGAGUCCACUGCCGUAUUUUUAUGUUACUUUCUUUAACAUUUUUUGUUUUGCCACAAGACCAACCAGUUGUCAAAGAAAUUCUGCGAUUUUGUUUUACUUGAAGCAAGUCUAUGAACAUUUUUGAGUGUGAUUUAAAAAUAAUAAAUUUCUGUAAAAAACCCAGUGAUUGUGUCCUUUGAGGCAACAUCAUUUCUCCAGACUACACAAGUAACUGCAUUACUUGUCUCUUGAAUAAAAGGAAAAAUCAAUAAUUCGAACUUCUCUUAAUCAAUACCACUCAUUCUGUGACAUAAUUAAAAUGACAAAGCGAUUGAAGACUUAUUUUUCUUUCUCAUAUCCCGCAGCGCAAAAAGUGUCUCUUAAAUCAGAUCGAGUUAGGACUUCCAAGGGUGGACCCCAAUUAUGUCAGAGCUCACUCCUCCUCUGCUUUAGUUGGUGCUAUCAGCAAACAAUAUUCUGUUCUCAUUGACUUAUAUGAAGAAUAGGAAAAUUAGUGUGGCUUUAGGACUUUAAAUAUGAAAAACAAACAGCUCGAACACCAGCACAGUCCUGAACAGAAGCAACGUAGCUGCUUGAAAUAUGUUGCAAUAAGUAUUUAUUUAUUAUGAUUCUUAAACCCUAAAGAAAAUCCAAUUACAAUUAGAAGUACAAAAAUCCAUGGUGGGUCUCGAACACGAUACACUGGGGUGGAAGUCUGCUUCAUUUUCCGUAUAAGGAGCAUUGUAUCCCAGUCUUAAAGGUUAAAAAAAAAA